AUUGAACGCUGGCGGCAUGCCUUACACAUGCAAGUCGAACGGCAGCACGGGAGCAAUCCUGGUGGCGAGUGGCGAACGGGUGAGUAAAGUAUCGGAACGUGCCCAGUCGUGGGGGAUAACGUAGCGAAAGUUACGCUAAUACCGCAUACGAUCUACGAAUGAAAGCGGGGGAUCGCAAGACCUCGCGCGAUUGGAGCGGCCGGUGAAAGAAUAGGUAGUUGGGAGGGUAAAGGCCCACGAAGCCGACGAUCGGUAGCGGGGCUGAGAGGACGACGAGCCACACUGGGACUGAGACACGGCUCAGACUCCUACGGGGGGCAGCAGUGGGGAAUUUUGGACAAUGGGCGAAAGCCUGAUCCAGCCAUGCCGCGUGCAGGAUGAAGGCCUUCGGGUUGUAAACUGCUUUUGUACGGAACGAAAAGGACUGCCCUAAUACGGUGGUCCCAUGACGGUACCGUAAGAAUAAGCACCGGCUAACUACGUGCCAGCCGCCGCAGUAA
rnacentral:rRNA from 1 species